AGUUCAGAUUGCAGGCUGCAACCCGCCUGCAUGAAGUCGGAAUUGCUAGUAAUCGCGGAUCAGCAUGCCGCGGUGAAUACGUUCCCGGGCCUUGUACACACCGCCCGUCACACCAUGGGAGCCGGUAAUACCCGAAGUCAGUAGUCCAACCUCGUGAGGACGCUGCCGAAGGUAGGAGUUGGCGACUGGGGUGGAAGUCGUAACAAGGUAAC
rnacentral:rRNA from 1 species